rnacentral:tRNA from 1 species
UCCGAUAUGGUGUAGUGGCUAACAUUAUCGCCUCUCACGCGAUAGCCCGGGGUUCGAUUCCCCAUGUCGGAA